rnacentral:lncRNA from 15 species
UGUAACGGUUGUUUGCAAGUUAGCUAACGUUAACUGACUGGAGCGUUUGUUGUUAACGUUACUUCUUCAGUUAGAGGCAGGAGCGAGGGCUCUAUGAAGUUGCCAGUUGUGUUUCCUGCAGAUGGUUGCACAGAUGAACAUGCACAGGUUGUCCAAGGACGAUAACUCUGUAUAAAACCGAGGUCUAAUUUUCUUUAUGGCUUCAGGUGAGUUAUCUGUAUUUUAAUGAUCACAGACACGUUUAAAUC